UACGGGGGGGGUAAGCGUUGUUCGGAAUUACUGGGCGUAAAGGGCUCGUAGGCGGCCAACUAAGUCAGACGUGAAAUCCCUCGGCUUAACCGGGGAACUGCGUCUGAUACUGGAUGGCUUGAGUUCGGGAGAGGGAUGCGGAAUUCCAGGUGUAGCGGUGAAAUGCGUAGAUAUCUGGAGGAACACCGGUGGCGAAGGCGGCAUCCUGGACCGAUACUGACGCUGAGGAGCGAAAGCAUGGGGAGCGAACAGG
rnacentral:rRNA from 1 species